rnacentral:rRNA from 1 species
UACGUAGGUGGCAAGCGUUGUCCGGAUUUACUGGGCGUAAAGAGCGCGCAGGCGGUCGUCCAAGUCGCGUGUGAAAGCCCCCGGCUCAACUGGGGAGGGUCACGCGAUACUGAUCGACUCGAAGGCAGGAGAGGGUAGUGGAAUUCCCGGUGUAGUGGUGAAAUGCGCAGAUAUCAGGAAGAACACCCGUGGCGAAGGCGGCUCUCUGGGACGGUACUGACGCUGAGACGCGAAAGCGUGGGGAGCGAACAGG